AGUUGGUGGAGUGAUUUGUCUGGUUAAUUCCGAUAACGAACGAGACUCUGUCCUGCUAAAUAGUGUCAGCCUCUCUUCUGGGCUGACAAUUCUUCUUAGAGGGACUGGCGGCUCCUAGCCGCACGAGAUAGAGCAAUAACAGGU
rnacentral:rRNA from 1 species